GAUGAACGCUGGCGGCGUGCCUAACACAUGCAAGUCGAGCGAACCCUUCGGGGUGAGCGGCGGACGGGUGAGUAACGCGUGGGUAACCUGCCCUAUACACACGGAUAACGUACCGAAAGGUACGCUAAUACGAGAUAACAUAUUUUUAUCGCAUGGUAGAAAUAUCAAAGCUCCGGCGGUAUAGGAUGGACCCGCGUCUGAUUAGCUAGUUGGUAAGGUAAUGGCUUACCAAGGCGACGAUCAGUAGCCGACCUGAGAGGGUGAUCGGCCACAUUGGAACUGAGACACGGUCCAAACUCCUACGGGAGGCAGCAGUGGGGAAUAUUGCACAAUGGGCGAAAGCCUGAUGCAGCAACGCCGCGUGAGCGAUGAAGGCCUUCGGGUCGUAAAGCUCUGUCCUCAAGGAAGAUAAUGGCGGUACUUGAGGAGGAAGCCCCGGCUAACUACGUGCCAGCAGCCGCGGUAAUACGUAGGGGGCUAGCGUUAUCCGGAAUUACUGGGCGUAAAGGGUGCGUAGGUGGUUUCUUAAGUCAGAGGUGAAAGGCUACGGCUCAACCGUAGUAAGCCUUUGAAACUGAGAAACUUGAGUGCAGGAGAGGAGAGUAGAAUUCCUAGUGUAGCGGUGAAAUGCGUAGAUAUUAGGAGGAAUACCAGUUGCGA
rnacentral:rRNA from 1 species